GGACGAUUAGCUCAGCUGGCUAGAGCAUUCGCUUGACGUGCGAAGGGUCACAGGUUCGAGUCCUGUACCGUCCACCA
rnacentral:tRNA from 1 species